CUGCUACUGAAGAGUCCCACAAUAGAACGAAACAACUUUAAAGCAG
rnacentral:hammerhead_ribozyme from 1 species